rnacentral:rRNA from 1 species
UACGGAGGGGACUAGCGUUGUUCGGAAUUACUGGGCGUAAAGCGCACGUAGGCGGAUUUGUAAGUCAGGGGUGAAAUCCCGGGGCUCAACCUCGGAACUGCCUUUGAUACUGCAAAUCUCGAGUCCGGAAGAGGUGAGUGGAAUUCCUAGUGUAGAGGUGAAAUUCGUAGAUAUUAGGAAGAACACCAGUGGCGAAGGCGGCUCACUGGUCCGGUACUGACGCUGAGGUGCGGAAAGCGUGGGGAGCAAACAGGGAUUAAGAAACCCU